rnacentral:rRNA from 1 species
GAUGAACGCUGGCGGCGUGCCUAAUACAUGCAAGUCGAGCGAACGGACGAGAAGCUUGCUUCUCUGAUGUUAGCGGCGGACGGGUGAGUAACACGUGGAUAACCUACCUAUAAGACUGGGAUAACUUCGGGAAACCGGAUCUAAUACCGGAUGAUAUUUUGAACCGCAUGGUUCAAAAGUGAAAGACGGUCUUGCUGUCACUUAUAGAUGGAUCCGCGCUGCAUUAGCUAGUUGGUAAGGUAACGGCUUACCAAGGCAACGAUGCAUAGCCGACCUGAGAGGGUGAUCGGCCACACUGGAACUGAGACACGGUCCAGACUCCUACGGGAGGCAGCAGUAGGGAAUCUUCCGCAAUGGGCGAAAGCCUGACGGAGCAACGCCGCAUGAGUGAUGAAGGUCUUCGGAUCGUAAAACUCUGUUAUUAGGGAAGAACAUAUGUGUAAGUAACUGUGCACAUCUUGACGGUACCUAAUCAGAAAGCCACGGCUAACUACGUG